rnacentral:rRNA from 1 species
AGCGAACGCUGGCGGCAGGCUUAACACAUGCAAGUCGAGCGCCCCGCAAGGGGCGCGGCAGACGGGUGAGUAACACGUUGGACCGUGCCUUUUGGUUCGGAACAACCCACGGAAACUUGGGCUAAUACCGGAUAAGCCCUUACGGCGAAAGAUUUAUCGUCAAACCAUCGGCCCGCGUCUGCUUACCUAGUUGGUGCGCUAAUGGCCCACCAAGGCUACGAUCAGUAGCUGGUCUGAGAGGAUGAUCAGCCACAUUGGAACUGAAACACGGCCCAAACUCCAACGGGAGGCAGCAGUGGGGAAUAUUGGAAAAUGUGGGCAACCCUGAUCCAGCCAUGCCGCGUGAGUGAUGAAGGCCUUAGGGUUGUAAAGCUCUUUUAGCAGGGAAGAUAAUGACGGUACCUGCAGAAAAAGCCCCGGCUAACUUCGUGCCAGCCGCCGCAGUAA